rnacentral:rRNA from 1 species
GACGAACCGUGCGAACGUUGUUCGGAAUCACUGGGCGUAAAGGGCUCGUAGGCGGCCAACUAAGUCGGAUGUGAAAUCCCCAAGCUUAACUUGGGAACUGCAUCCGAUACUGGAUGGCUUGAAUCCGGGAGAGGGAUGCAGAAUUCCAGGUGUAGCGGUGAAAUGCGUAGAUAUCGGAAGGAACAUCAGUGGCGAAAGCGACUUCCUGGACCAAUACUGACGCUCAUGUGCGAAAGCGUGGGGAGCAAACAGG